rnacentral:lncRNA from 12 species
CAUGGAGGAGGGAGGAGACAGAGAGGUCCCUGGGAGGCUGCUCAGGUGUUCCAGGAGGAUAAUCAAGGGAAACACUUCCUUCUGGAAGAGGAUGCUGGAGGCCCAGUGAAGUCUUUACAAGAAUUGCACACUCAGA